CUACUUUACAAAAUGGAUCCAUCAAAGUAGUUUCCUGUAUGACUUGAGACAUCAAAUGUAGUUUCGAAGGAACUUGUUAUGCAAAAUUGCAUCAACCCUUGGUCACGUGAUGGAUAGCGAGAUAAACAGUGUUUUUAAUUGACAGCAAAGAUAAAGACAUCAUAUCAAACACAACCACCUCUUCUAACGCCCUCUAGUGAAGACAAGGUGUCGCAGAAUACACCAAUAUGACAAACGAGUGGGAUACGAAGCGAGAACUACUACAAGUUCCUGUCGGAAACUCUCAUCUUCUUCAAUAGGAAUAUGUCGUCGUUCCAAACUACAGGGGUCAGAAAUGAUUGGCAAAUUGAUCAAGGGAAAAAAAGCUGUGAAUUUUCAGUUAUGAUGUCUGCAACAACAGGGUGGGAAGAUGCUUUCUGAUAAAAAACGGCGAAUCUAUCCGGCUGUUUACAAGACGUAAAUUCGGAAAGAGGUAGCCUAACAGGUAAUGGCGUCGUCUGUUCAACAAAAGUUGUGAAGAAAGAAGUGAUUUUUUUAGUUAUGCAAGGCAACGAACACUAGAUGAUGACGUCCUCAUCAAAACGCGGCUGUUCUAGUCGAACCGAGUCUCUUUCGUCCAAUGAGCCUUGAUCUUUCUUUUUGGUCUUUUCUCCUCAAAACCAAAAACGUUUUAGCAUCGCRUUUCAAGUGACUGUUGCUUYGCCUACUUCACCAUGRCAACAUACAACCAAGAAAUGGUUUGGAUUUGUUACGGCUUUUAAAAGAAACUCCAAGUCUUCCCACCAUAUGGGUCUGCUUUGCCCAGGGUCAGCGGACAACAUACGUCGCUCUUCAUAAUCUCCACUUAGGGAUGCCCUCGUACAGCUCUAGUUACAGAUAGYUUUACAAAAAUCCCAUGUUAUUCUCAUGCAAACACUGGAAUCAAUCUCUCCCAUUAGCGGAACGUGGACGCCAAACAUCCACUUCCAAUUGCCCGUGGCUUUUUCAAGCUCUCUUGCUAAGAACAAGAUCCUAAACAAAGUCAUCACUAAGAAAAUGAGCGAUCUUUGAAWGAUAGCUAUGGAUACCGGUCAGUUUCAGGAACCUCAUUGGUGGACAGCUUUAACUACGCAUUUUCACUUUUCUUUUCCCGAGGAAGAGACAACUGUUAGUCACUACUGUAUAUCUAUCUAGAAUAAUAAUGACACAUUUUACAUACACUUACACAUAGGCGUGMUGCCGGCUAGGCGCUUCCUUUACAUAAGCAACGYCAACUGAACGCGGAGYACAGCAGAUAGAAAUAGUUCGUUUUUACUGAGGGAGGAAAACCCGGAAAACCCUCGAAGCAAGGGAGAGAACGAAAGAAACUCAAAUCACAUAUGGCGCCCCGACCGAGAUUCGAACAGGGUCCACAGAGGUGACAGGCCAGCGYUCUCACCGCUCGGCYACCCUUGCUUCUGUAUUAUCCGAAUAAAUCAUGUCGUGGUACCCUAAUUGGCUGCGGUUGUUAUUUUAUCUAAAAAGACACAUGUCAUACACACGGCCUUUUAAUAACGUUUGUAACAAGGAUUAAUUCACYGAAGGGCAGUAUUGACUACUUUUUGACAGUGAGAUACCAAAUCCGUGAAACAAAAUCUAACCAGUAAAGAGAGUCAAAUAGUGUUUUUCAUACACCAUGCUUCAAGGUUUGUAAUGCCGAGUUUGUUAUAUGAUUAGAGGGGUUUUGAUAAUCACUAAAGAUAAAGACAAGUCAUGAGAUAACAAGACCAAAGAACUGUUUUGGGUUGAAUAAUUUUAUUAUUCCAAUUACUCUUAAAUUAGGAUUAGAAUAGUCACACGAUAAUCAAAAUCCUAAAAAUAACAAGGUUUGGACUUCGUAGUGAUAGUGAUAUACAAAAUGCUGACUAAUAUAUAAUACUUUAAACUCUUGAUUUCCUGUAUUUUCAGAGAUCAUAUGAUAUAAAAGGCCCAAUUAGUAUAUAGGGAAGUCAUUAACAUACAUGGCCUACGGGAAAACACUAUUUAACGAA